UCCGUAGGUGAACCUGCGGAGGGAUCAUUACCGAGUUUACAACUCCCAAACCCAAUGUGAACGUUACCAAACUGUUGCCUCGGCGGGAUCUCUGCCCCGGGUGCGUCGCAGCCCCGGACCAAGGCGCCCGCCGGAGGACCAACCAAAACUCUUAUUGUAUACCCCCUCGCGGGUUUUUUUUAUAAUCUGAGCCUUCUCGGCGCCUCUCGUAGGCGUUUCGAAAAUGAAUCAAAACUUUCAACAACGGAUCUCUUGGUUCUGGCAUCGAUGAAGAACGCAGCGAAAUGCGAUAAGUAAUGUGAAUUGCAGAAUUCAGUGAAUCAUCGAAUCUUUGAACGCACAUUGCGCCCGCCAGUAUUCUGGCGGGCAUGCCUGUCCGAGCGUCAUUUCAACCCUCGAACCCCUCCGGGGGGUCGGCGUUGGGGAUCGGCCCUGCCUUGGCGGUGGCCGUCUCCGAAAUACAGUGGCGGUCUCGCCGCAGCCUCUCCUGCGCAGUAGUUUGCACACUCGCAUCGGGAGCGCGGCGCGUCCACAGCCGUUAAACACCCAACUUCUGAAAUGUUGACCUCGGAUCAGGUAGGAAUACCCGCUGAACUUAAGCAUAUCAAUAAGCGGAGGA
rnacentral:rRNA from 2 species